rnacentral:rRNA from 1 species
UAGGGAAUCUUCCGCAAUGGACGCAAGUCUGACGGAGCAACGCCGCGUGAGUGAAGAAGGAUUUCGGUUCGUAAAACUCUGUUGUUAGAGAAGAACAGCGCAUAGAGUAACUGUUAUGCGUGUGACGGUAUCUAACCAGAAAGCCACGGCUAACCACGUGCCAGCAGCCGCGGUAAUACGUAGGUGGCAAGCGUUGUCCGGAUUUAUUGGGCGUAAAGCGAGCGCAGGCGGUCAAUUAAGUCUGAUGUGAAAGCCCCCGGCUCAACCGGGGAGGGUCAUUGGAAACUGGUUGACUUGAGUGCAGAAGAGGAGAGUGGAAUUCCAUGUGUAGCGGUGAAAUGCGUAGAUAUAUGGAGGAACACCAGUGGCGAAGGCGACUCUCUGGUCUGUAACUGACGCUGAGGCUCGAAAGCGUGGGUAGCAAACAGG